rnacentral:rRNA from 1 species
UCCACGCAGUAAACGAUGAAUGUUAGUCGUCGGGGGGCUCGUCCUUUCGGUGAUGCAGCUAACGCAUUAAACAUUCCGCCUGGGGAGUACGGCCGCAAGAUUAAAACUCAAAGGAAUAGACGGGGACCCGCACAAGUGGUGGAGCAUGUGGUUUAAUUCGAAGAUACGCGAAGAACCUUACCUAGCCUUGACAUAUUAAAGAAUCCCCCAGAGAUGGAGGAGUGCCUUCGGGA